rnacentral:rRNA from 1 species
GAUGAACGCUGGCGGCGUGCCUAAUACAUGCAAGUCGAACGAGGUGCUUUUGUAGCAAUACGAGAGUAUCCUAGUGGCGAACGGGUGAGUAACGCGUGGAUGACCUGCCCCAAAGUGUGGGAUAACAGUCCGAAAGGAUUGCUAAUACCUCAUGUGGUUAUCGGUUUUAGAAAGCGAUAACUAAAGCAGCAAUGCGCUUUGGGAGGGAUCUGCGUCCCAUCAGCUAGUUGGUGAGGUAACGGCUCACCAAGGCGACGACGGUAGGGGACCUGAGAGGGUGGCCCCCCACAAUGGAACUGAACAACGGUCCAUACACCUACGGGUGGCGAGCAGUAGGGAAGUAAUUGCUCAAUGGGCGGAAAGACCUGAAGCAGCGAACGCCGCGUGUGCGAUGAAGGCCUCGGUC